rnacentral:rRNA from 1 species
GAGUGGCGGACGGGUGAGUAACACGUACCUAACCUGCCCAGAAGCGGGGGACAACAUUUGGAAACAGAUGCUAAUACCGCAUAACAACGUUGUUCGCAUGAACAACGCUUAAAAGAUGGCUUCUCGCUAUCACUUCUGGAUGGACCUGCGGUGCAUUAGCUUGUUGGUGGGGUAACGGCCUACCAAGGCGAUGAUGCAUAGCCGAGUUGAGAGACUGAUCGGCCACAAUGGGACUGAGACACGGCCCAUACUCCUACGGGAGGCAGCAGUAGGGAAUCUUCCACAAUGGGCGCAAGCCUGAUGGAGCAACACCGCGUGAGUGAAGAAGGGUUUCGGCUCGUAAAGCUCUGUUGUUAAAGAAGAACACGUAUGAGAGUAACUGUUCAUACGUUGACGGUAUUUAACCAGAAAGUCACGGCUAACUACGUGCCAGCAGCCGCGGUAAUACGUAGGUGGCAAGCGUUAUCCGGAUUUAUUGGGCGUAAAGAGAGUGCAGGCGGUUUUCUAAGUCUGAUGUGAAAGCCUUCGGCUUAACCGGAGAAGUGCAUCGGAAACUGGAUAACUUGAGUGCAGAAGAGGGUAGUGGAACUCCAUGUGUAGCGGUGGAAUGCGUAGAUAUAUGGAAGAACACCAGUGGCGAAGGCGGCUACCUGGUCUGCAACUGACGCUGAGACUCGAAAGCAUGGGUAGCGAACAGGAUUAGAUACCCUGGUAGUCCAUGCCGUAAACGAUGAGUGCUAGGUGUUGGAGGGUUUCCGCCCUUCAGUGCCGGAGCUAACGCAU